rnacentral:rRNA from 1 species
GAUUCCCCUAGUAACGGCGAGUGAAGCGGGAAGAGCUCAAAUUUGUAAUCUGGCGGUCUUUGCGGCUGUCCGAGUUGUAGUCUGGAGAAGCGUUUUCCGUGCCGGACCGUGUACAAGUCCCUUGGAACAGGGCGUCACAGAGGGUGAGAAUCCCGUCUUUGACACGGACUGCCGGUGCUAUGCGAUGCGCUCUCAAAGAGUCGAGUUGUUUGGGAAUGCAGCUCAAAACGGGUGGUAAAUUCCAUCUAAAGCUAAAUAUUGGCGAAAGACCGAUAGCGAACAAGUACCGUGAGGGAAAGAUGAAAAGCACUUUGGAAAGAGAGUUAAACAGUACGUGAAAUUGUUGAAAGGGAAACGCUUGAAGUCAGUCGCGUCUUCCGGGACUCAGCCUCGCCUUUGUGGCCACGGUGUAUUUCCCGGGGUGACGGGCCAGCAUCGAUUUCGAUCGUUGGAGAAAGGCGAUGGGGAACGUGGCACCUUCGGGUGUGUUAUAGCCCCAGGUCGUAUACAACGGUUGGGAUCGAGGAUUGCAGCACGCCUUUAAUGGCCGGGGUUACGCCCACGUAACGUGCUUAGGAUGCUGGCGUAAUGGCUUUAAGCGACCCGUCUUGAAACACGGACCAAGGAGUCUAACAUGCCUGCGAGUGUUUGGGUGGAAAACCCGGACGCGGAAUGAAAGUGAAAAGGUUGGGACCUCUGUCGUGGAGGGCACCGACGCCCGGACCAGACCUUCUGUGACGGUUCCGAGGUAGAGCAUGUAUGUUGGGACCCGAAAGAUGGUGAACUAUGCCUGAGUAGGGUGAAGCCAGAGGAAACUCUGGUGGAGGCUCGUAGCGAUUCUGACGUGCAAAUCGAUCGUCGAACUUGGGUAUAG